rnacentral:rRNA from 1 species
AUGAGGGAUCGUGUUAGGAAGAGGGAGGAGGAGGAUGACGAAAUGAUGUUAUUUGUUUUUCCUGCACUACAUUUGAUAGAGACCGAUGGAGGUGCUCUUAGGGAGCGGAGGAUUCCAUGCCAUACAUCAUCGCUAACAGGCGAGAUGUUUGUUAAGGAGUUACUCGAAGGGCACGUCAAAAACUAUCGGGUAGCAUUUAGGAUGGAGCCGCAUAUCUUCAAAUCUUUAGCUAAUUAUCUUCGAAGGGAGAAGUUGGUGAAAGAUACCAGAAUUAAAGUCGAAGAGAAACUAGCAUCAUUUUUGUGGAUGUUGUCCCAUAAUUCUUCAUUUGAAGACCUUCAAGUUCGGUUUGGUCACAGCGGGGAUACUUUCCAUUGGCAAAUGAAGAAUUUCUUUGACAUCAUCCCUAUUCUCUCCAAGCAUUUUUUGAAGCCUCCAAAUCCCAGUCAAGUGCAUCCGAAGAUUCAGUCGGACACGAGAUUCUUUCCUUAUUUUCAGAACUGCAUUGGGGCAAUUGAUGGGACACAUGUUCCCAUAACAAUUUCAGGAGAAAAAGCCGCACCAUUCAGAAAUAGGAAAGGGACCCUAAGCCAUAAUGUUAUGGUCGUGUGCGACUUCGACCUGAACUUCACCUUCAUUUCUUGUGGCUGGGAGGGAUCUGCUACUGAUGCUAAAGUUCUUCGGUCAGCCCUUAACAGCGGGUUUCAUGUACCUCCGGGCAAGUUUUAUCUGGUUGAUGGUGGUUAUGCCAACACACCUUACUUCUUGGCACCGUAUCGUGGUGUUCGGUACCAUUUGAAGGAGUUUGCACGCGGUCGUCGUCGACCCCAAAAUCAUAGGGAGCUAUUCAAUCUCCGGCAUGCCGUGUUACGAAAUCACAUCAAACGGGGAUUAGGAAUCUUGAAGAAGCGGUUCCCAAUCCUAAAAGUGGGCACGCAUCAUCGAAUAGAGAACCAAGUCAAGCUACUAGCAGCGGCGGCAAUCUUACAUAACAUCAUCCGAUCUGAAAGAGGAGAUGAGCGUUGGUUAGAUAACCAACCAAACAAUAUACCUGUCAUGAAUUUUGUGGAUCUUCCUGACGAAGUCACUAUGAUGACUGCUCGAGGGUCACCAAGGUUGAGCCUCCUCAAAAAAGCUGUCGAAAGGGAUAGAGCAUCACCUCCUACAGGCAGUGUGACAAAGAGGAGGAGAGGGUCUCCCAAAGAAGACAGAGCGCAAUGGAAUGCAAGCCUUGAGAAAGAUCUUGUGGACUUGCUUCGUGAGCAUGAUACACCUGAACAUAAGGGUCAAAAUGGAUGGAGCUCUGAAGCAUGGAAUACGAUAGUGAAGAAAUUCCACCAAAAGAAUCCUUAUGCUAGGUACGAGAAGAAGAAAAUCCAAGAAAAGGAGAAAGAGUUAAAAAGAGAAUACAAGAUGAUCAAAGAGAUAAGGAAGCAAAGCGGCGUUUCAUGGGACGACCAGCAGUGCAAGAUUCUAGCGGAUCCACCACUUUGGAAAAACAUCAUCAUAUCACACCCUAAAGCUGGAAAGUUCAAGACAAAGGCCUUCCCUCUUUUUGAAGCUUUGGGAGAAUUGCAUGAUGGCCAAACUGCAGAAGGGACAUAUAACUUCACCUCUAUCGAGUCAUCACAUUGCUCAACCCAAUCACAACUUGAGAAUCUUGGAGGAGCUGGCGAGAAUCAAGGAGAAACAUCAGCUGAUGGUGAGAAUCUUGGAGGAGAAAGGGUGCAGAUUGAUGAAGAUGUUGAGGAGGUGUAUGUGCAAGAAAACAUUGCUGUGGAGCCCCAGCAAACUCAACCAAAUUUGGCUACUGUACCCUCAAGAAAUGGAGAAGAGAAAGAACCAAAGAGAUGGAGGGGGGCGAAUGGUGAUGUGGCUGCAAUGAUGGAGAAGUACCUGGAAAUAAGGGCGAAGCAGGUGGAGGAUGAGAGGAAUAAGCCAAGGGUUGUGGAUGAGUACUCUAUCAAAAACUGCAUUGAUCUGCUCAAAACAAUGGACAUCACACCUGAAGAAGAAGUCAAGGCCUUCCGAGUCUUCAAGAUCCCUGAGAACCAAGAGAUUUUCAUGAGUGCCAGACCGGAGACUGCACUUAUGUGGCUGAGAGCUGAAUGGAAUAACUCGGGUACUCAAAUUCUGCUUCUAUUUAAUAUGCAUGUUGCUAGCAUGUAG